rnacentral:lncRNA from 1 species
UGCUUAGUUUUCUAAAUAAAUAAAUAAAUAAAGUUUGCUAUGAACCAUCAUGAUAAGCUCUCACAUGGAAAUGAUGAAUAGUUGCUCUGCCAUGACUAGUUCUCAAAAUUGAAAUCUCUCUCAAGUUUAGGCAUGAUUGUUAUUAUUUAAGAUUUGCUCUAAACCUGAACUUGUGGGAAGAGUACUUGAUCUAAAGUCUAAGUCGUUAACGGAUACGAUAUGGGAAGGUUGAGCCGCUGUUUAUCUAUUCCUAAAGAUGCUAUAAUUCUGGAGAAUUUUAUCUUUGAAAAUCAUUAAAAUGUUGCAUGAUGAGUUGUUGUAUGAUGAGAGUUUAAAAUCCUACCACAGCCAUAUAUACAUGCUUAUUAGACUAUGAACCAUACAUAUACUUUUUACUGCUUAUGAGCAUUGAGUGUGGUCAAGUUGUGUAGACCCUUAGGAGCUUGUCAUGCGGUUAAAAUCAAGAUUCACUUGCACGUUCACUCAUACAUGCUGCUUCUUCUCCGGAAGUACGCAUCCACAUACAUCCAAUUAUUUCUAUAUCCAGAUUCACCUAAAAUUAUUCUACUCCUACCUAGGAGAGAAUAGCCAAAAACAUUAUCCUAUCUCAGUUAUUCCCCGUGAAAUAAAUGCUCGAGAUAUUUUGGUUACUACCACUUGCUACAUUAUUCCAGGAGGGCGAGUGCUCUAAAAAAAGUGAAUACGAGGAAAUAAAAAGGGGCAAGUGCCCGAAACCUUGGAAGAAAAAAAAGAGAAAAAAGAGAGAGAAAAAGUGCGACGAGAGGUAAAAAUGGACAAGUGUCCGAUAGUAGAAUUAGGGGUACAAGAUACCCACCUGAGAGAAAAGAAAAAUUAAAUAUCAAGCAUCUCAUUCCCCUCAAAAGCCUCAAGGGCAAGGAAGGUAUGUACCCCCUCAAAAGAGCAAAAGUACAAUUAGACUUUCACCAUUAUUUUUACCAUUAUUACCAUUCAUUCGCCACACAUGCACAUCUUCAUUUGACUUGUUGACUUGUUCUUCUAGAUCCAUGGUUUGACUAUGCAAUAAAUGUCAUGUAAGUAUGUAUUAGCUAUCUCCCACCUAUGAGCUCCAGAUAUCAAAACCUUAUUAGAGUAAGGUGAGAGAGAGAAGGCAAUGCCACUAUGCCUCAUACCAAAAAUACCACAUACUUUGAGAGAAGGCAUAUACCAUUACUGCCUUGGUAAGGAUACAUAAAUACCACAAAAGAGAGACUAGAGAGAGUCAUACAAGGAAUCUUUGAGUUUUAUUUGAAAAUCUGCAAAAACUCCAGAGCUAUAGUUAAUCGAAGAACAAGAGACAUGGCGCUUAACUAGACCGUUCUAUCUUUUAACUGCUCAAGACACAAGUGACGGUUGCAAGCCCC